rnacentral:rRNA from 1 species
ACCCGCUGAACUUAAGCAUAUCAAUAAGCGGAGGAAAAGAAACCAACAGGGAUUGCCUCAGUAACGGCGAGUGAAGCGGCAACAGCUCAAAUUUGAAAUCUGGCACCCUCGGGGCCCGAGUUGUAAUUUGCAGAGGGUGCUUUGGCGUUGGCUGUGGUCUAAGUUCCUUGGAACAGGACGUCGCAGAGGGUGAGAAUCCCGUAUGUGGCCGCCAGCCUCCGCCGUGUAAAGCCCCUUCGACGAGUCGAGUUGUUUGGGAAUGCAGCUCUAAAUGGGAGGUAAAUUCCUUCUAAAGCUAAAUACUGGCCAGAGACCGAUAGCGCACAAGUAGAGUGAUCGAAAGAUGAAAAGCACUUUGGAAAGAGAGUCAAAAAGCACGUGAAAUUGUUGAAAGGGAAGCGCUUGCAGCCAGACUCGCUCGCGGUUGCUCAACCGGGCACCAGCCCGGUGCACUCUUCCGCGGGCGGGCCAGCAUCAGUUCGGGCGGGUGGAUAAAUACCUGCUAAAUGUACCUCUCCUCGGGGAGGACUUAUAGGGUAGGUGGCAUACACCCAGCCCGGACUGAGGUCCGCGCAUCUGCUAGGAUGCUGGCGUAAUGGCUGU